rnacentral:rRNA from 1 species
AGGAUCAUUACAGUAGUCACCCGGGUUGCCGCAAGGCCUCUCGGGUAACCUACCACCCUUUGUUUAUUACACUUUGUUGCUUUGGCAGGCCUGCCUUCGGGCUGCUGGCUCCGGCCGGCGAGCGCUUGCCAGAGGAUCUAAACUCUGUUUGUCUAUACUGUCUGAGUACUAUAUAAUAGUUAAAACUUUCAACAACGGAUCUCUUGGUUCUGGCAUCGAUGAAGAACGCAGCGAAAUGCGAUAAGUAAUGUGAAUUGCAGAAUUCAGUGAAUCAUCGAAUCUUUGAACGCACAUUGCGCCCCCUGGUAUUCCGGGGGGCAUGCCUGUCCGAGCGUCAUUACAACCCUCAAGCUCUGCUUGGUGUUGGGCCCCGCCGCCCCGGCGGGCCCUAAAGUCAGUGGCGGUGCCAUCCGGCUCCGAGCGUAGUAAUUCUUCUCGCUCUGGAGGUCCGGUUGUGUGCUCGCCAUCAACCCCCAAUUUUUUUCAGGUUGACCUCGGAUCAGGUAGGGAUACCCGCUGAACUUAAGCAUAUCAAU